GAUGAAGAACGUAGCGAAAUGCGAUAAGUAGUGUGAAUUGCAGAAUUCAGUGAAUCAUCGAAUCUUUGAACGCACAUUGCGCCCUUUGGUAUUCCAAAGGGCAUGCCUGUUCGAGCGUCAUUUGUACCCUCAAGCUUUGCUUGGUGUUGGGCGUCUUGUCUCUAGCUUUGCUGGAGACUCGCCUUAAAGUAAUUGGCAGCCGGCCUACUGGUUUCGGAGCGCAGCACAAGUCGCACACUCUAUCAGCAAAGGUCUAGCAUCCAUUAAGCCUUUUUUUCAACUUUUGACCUCGGAUCAGGUAGGGAUACCCGCUGAACUUAAGCAUAUCAAUAAGCGGAGGA
rnacentral:misc_RNA from 1 species